UCGAGGAAUUUAUCCAUUUCUUCCAGAGUUUCUAGUUUAUUUGCAUAGAGGUGUUUAUAGCAUUCUCUGAUGGUAGUUUGUACUUCUGUGGGAUUGGUGUUGACAUCCCCUUUGUCAUUUUUUAUUGCAUCUAUUUGAUUCUUCUCUCUUUUCUUCUUUAUUAGUCUUGCUAGCGGUCUAUCAAUUUUGUUGAUCUUUUCAAAAUAACAGCUCCUGUAUUCAUUGAUUUUUUGAAAGGUUUUUUGUGUCUCUAUUUCCUUCAGUUCUUAUCUGAUCUUAGUUAUUUCUUGCCUUCUGCUAGCUUUUGAAUGUGUUU
rnacentral:lncRNA from 10 species